rnacentral:lncRNA from 13 species
AAAAAGUGAAUUUAUGUGGAGGAGAGUCUCUCCAUAUUCACAACACUUGUACGGGUUACACGGAUUCACAACAUAAUCCACUUUUUUUAUUUUGCCGGAGCUCCUUAUCCUCAAAUAAACCUAACUGGAUACAAGCACACACAAGAAAGCACACACACACACAGCACUGCCACCUCAGUGCACAAAGUGUUUCGGGUAACAGAGAUGCAUUUAAUCUGAACGGAAACCUCUCCAGUCUGUGUUGUGUGAGUCACAGCUCUCCAUUUGAAGCCUGCAUGCUGUGAGUCACGAUAUGGGAUAUAGAAUGCUUCAGAAGCACUUCACAAAGGAACCUGGGACGCCAAUGCAGGAUAACCCACAGCCAACGCUCUUUCUGGGUUAUGAGAGGUCACCAGAGAAGAGACUCUGCCUCAGCAGGAGGGUUGACAGACAUGCCACAAGAACAGAUGAGCCUGGAGUGAUGGAGGUUUCUGAGGAGCCAGGUCCUAUUUCAAAGACCUUCCAUGAUGCCCAAACACAGUGGUCAGACCCAGCAAUGGAGGACCACACCUACUCCGUAGGACCUAUCAUCACAUGUGGGAUGACGACCUCACCAGCCCCGAGAGGUCACUGUUUGUCUGUUGCAGAUGUUACAUUGAAAGAUGAUGCAGACUGUCUGCUGCACACAGGGAUUCCACUACUAGAAUUCAACACUCUUGUGUCUUGCUUACAAGGUUUUCCCCCACAUCAUCAACAAUGACGGUUGUAGACCAAAUUCUGUUGACACUCUAAUGCAACAUAGAACUUUGUUAUAGCUGAUUUAGCAAGAAGCUUCAGAAGGUCACCCGGACAGGUCAGUAAAACGCUGAAUUCUGGAUAGAUGUCGUUGCUGAGCACACCAAGGAUCACAUUCCAUGGCUGUCUCGUGAGACAAUAAAGACUACUAUGCCACAGGUUUUUUUUUUUUUUUUUUUCAGGAUCAUUUUUCAAGAACAACUUGUGUUAUUGACUGCACAGAAAGUGUUUUGCAGAAGGCUAAAAUUCUGGAAUCAAGAACUGAAUCUUACAGUCACUCCUGUGCCAAUAAUACUGUAAAAUAUCUAGUUGCAACUGUUCCAUCGGGAAUGGUUGCGUUCAUUUCAGAGGCUUAUGGUGGGAAAUGUAGCGAGAGGUUCAUAACACAGAACUCACAGCCAUCUCCGUGCUGGAGAUGAGGUGAUGGGGGACCGUGGACUUGCUAGAUGAACGGAAUGUACGCUUGGUCUUACAGGCAAGCUGUUGACAAGCCAGUUGACAAAUGAGCAGGUCACUCGCACACGACGCAUUGCUAAUGUCCGUAUCCAUGUGGAACGAGCAAUAAGGAGUCUUAAGGUGUACAAGAUUCUCUCACAAACUGUACCUAUUAGUUUGGUCCCUAAAAAAUGACAACAUACCUCAAAUGUGUGCAGCUCUUGUAAAUCUGAGAGGAGAGCUUAUUUCUAGCAAAUAGACACAAUGUCUAACAUAAUCAACCUGACUAACAACAUGCGCUGAUCGUUUAUGUAUUCCAAAAAUGUACAUCACUUUAUUCCUAUUAAUGAAC